rnacentral:tRNA from 1 species
GCCUCGGUAGUGUAAUCGGUAAGCACAACAGACCGAAAAUCUGUGGGUACGGGUUCAAAUCCUGCUUGAGGUU